rnacentral:tRNA from 1 species
GCCUCUGUGGCGGAACGGCAGACGCACGCGGCUCAAACCCGCGCGCCCGUGGACGGGCAUGCAGGUUCGACUCCUGCCAGAGGCA